rnacentral:rRNA from 1 species
GAUGAACGCUGGCGGCGUGCCUAAUACAUGCAAGUCGAGCGAACAGACGAGGAGCUUGCUCCUCUGACGUUAGCGGCGGACGGGUGAGUAACACGUGGAUAACCUACCUAUUAUACUGGGAUAACUUCGGGAAACCGGAGCUAAUACCGGCUCAUAUAUUGAACCGCAUGGUUCAAUAGUGAAAGACGGUUUUGCUGUCACUUUUAGAUGGAUCCGCGCCGCAUUAGCUAGUUGGUAAGGUAACGGCUUACCAAGGCAACGAUGCGUAGCCGACCUGAGAGGGUGAUCGGCCACACUGGAACUGAGACACGGUCCAGACUCCUACGGGAGGCAGCAGUAGGGAAUAUUCCGCAAAGGGCGAAAGCCUGACGGAGCAACGCCGCGUGAGUGAUGAAGGUCUUCGGAUCGUAAAACUCUGUUAUUAGGGAAGAAAAAAUGUGUAAGUAACUAUGCACGUCUUGACGGUACCUAAUCAGAAAGCAACGGCUAACUACGUG